rnacentral:lncRNA from 1 species
GUAAAAACGUAAACUUUUGGGCCAAAGUGCAAAUACACAAAAGUAUCAAAACUUUAUGUAAUUGCAUAAAAACCCCAAAAGUACUCCCACUUGAGGGAGGGCCGGUUUUGGAGAAGGAAAAUGAGUGAUGUGUGUGUUGAUUUGUGAGUUUUGACAUAAAGCAUGCAAGUGGUGCAAGUGGUGCAAGUGGUGCAAGUGGUGUGUGUGAAAGGGAAUUAAUCCUUUCACACCCACCAUUAUUUCUACCACCAUUUAAACAAAUAUCUAACACAUUGAAUCAUUUGAAAAACAUAAAACAUAAACUUUAUGAAAUAAAUCAAAACUUUGAAUCAAAACACAAAACCUUUUUGUUCUUGGCAAAAAUGUCAAGAACAAUGAAGAACAUUCAUGAAAAACCCAAAAAAUUUCCAUGAACAUUUUUACUCCAAAAACAUCCCAAAACCAUUCAAACUUUAGGGAAAUAACAUAUAACCAAACUAGGGUACAUAGGGGUUCCAAAAGUUACUUGAAAACACUUUUAACAAGUCAAACAAGAACCCAAAAAACCACCCUUUGGAUUUGGCCGAAAAUUCCCAAAAACAUGGCACCAAAUUUUAGCUCCAAUAUUCAUGCUCAUAAGAACUACAUCUACAACAUUUGAGAUGGCAAAUUUUCUAACAAAAUUUACAUUCAAAGAAACAAGAAUAUAGCUUGUAACAUAUUACAACUUUUAAAUCACAAACUAUGAACCACAAAACCCAAAAGGAUUCACCAACUACUA